rnacentral:rRNA from 1 species
GUCGACGUGCACUUCUCCCCUAGUAGGACGUCGCGACUCGUUGAGUGUCCGACCGAUUGCCGUUUGGUCGCCUGUCUCGUCGCGUUCACGCGUGCACGUGGCAGACCGAAAUGGUCGAGCGUCCGACUGCCCGGCGGUAUAGAACGCUUAUGAACGGUAAUUAGCCGCAUUAAGUGCGUUCAGUCUCGUCGGCAGGCUCGUCUCGCCCGGAUUUACGGACCUAGUGCCGUUGCCGGGUGCUUGGCGUGGCCGUUAGUCGACGGUGUCCUCGGACUGGCUCUAAAAUUCGAAAGGAUUACCGGUCGGCGAUGUUACUGCUUUUGGUACUUUCAGGACCCGUCUUGAAACAG